AGGAGAGUCCCGUUUGUUGGUAUGACGGGUUAAGCUGUAAACUUAAUGACUAAUAAAGUCAUCGAAGGUUCAAUUCCUUUCUUUCCUA
rnacentral:tRNA from 2 species